rnacentral:rRNA from 1 species
AGCGCAGGCGGGAGGCCAAGUCCAUCCUAAAAGUUCGGGGCUCAACCCCCGUGAGGGGAUGGAAACUGGUCUUCUUGAGUGCAGGAGAGGAAAGCGGAAUUCCUAGUGUAGCGGUGAAAUGCGUAGAUAUUAGGAGGAACACCAGUGGCGAAGGCGGCUUUCUGGACUGUGUCUGACGCUGAGAUGCGAAAGCCAGGGUAGCGAACG